rnacentral:rRNA from 1 species
CCUACGGGAGGCUGCAGUAACGAAUCUUCCGCAAUGGGCGAAAGCCUGACGGAGCAAUGCCGCGUGCGGGAUGAAGCGGCUUCGCCGUGUAAACCGCUGUCAGGAAGCAGAAACACUGAUCGCUUCCAGAGGAAGGGGCGACUAACUCUGUGCCAGCAGUCGCGGUAAUACAGAGGCCCCGAGCGUUAAUCGGAAUCACUGGGCUUAAAGGGUGCGCAGGCGGAUCGGAAAGUGUUUUGUGAAAUCCCUCGGCUCAACCGGGGAACAGCAGGGCA